GCCAUAUCAUUUUGAAACACCAGUUCCUGUAUGAUCAGCAAAGUUAAGCCUUGUCAAAUCUGGUUAGUACUUAGAUGGGUGACCCCUUGGGAAUACCAGGUGAGGUA